rnacentral:rRNA from 1 species
AAACCAACAGGGAUUGCCUUAGUAGCGGCGAGUGAAGCGGCAAAAGCUCAAAUUUGAAAUCUGGCACCUUCGGUGUCCGAGUUUUAAUUUGAAGAUUGUAACCUUGGGGUUGGCUCUUGUCUAUGUUUCUUGGAACAGGACGUCACAGAGGGUGAGAAUCCCGUGCGAUGAGAUGCCCAAUCCUAUGUAAGGUGCUUUCGAAGAGUCGAGUUGUUUGGGAAUGCAGCUCUAAGUGGGUGGUAAAUUCCAUCUAAAGCUAAAUAUUGGCGAGAGACCGAUAGCGAACAAGUACAGUGAUGGAAAGAUGAAAAGAACUUUGAAAAGAGAGUGAAAAAGUACGUGAAAUUGUUGAAAGGGAAGGGUUUGAGAUCAGACUCGAUAUUUUGUGAGCCUUGCCUUCGUGGCGGGGUGACCCGCAGCUUAUCGGGCCAGCAUCGGUUUGGGCGGUAGGAUAAUGGCGUAGGAAUGUGACUUUGCUUCGGUGAAGUGUUAUAGCCUGCGUUGAUGCUGCCUGCCUAGACCGAGGACUGCGAUUUUAUCAAGGAUGCUGGCAUAAUGAUCCCAAACCGC